rnacentral:rRNA from 1 species
CAAUAGCGUAUAUUAAAGUUGUUGCGGUUAAAAAGCUCGUAGUUGGAUUUCUGCUGAGAACGACCGGUCCGCCCUCUGGGUGUGUAUCUGGCUCUUUCUUGGCAUCUUCUUGGUGAACGUUGCUGCACUUGACUGUGUGGAGCGCUACCCAGGACUUUUACUUUGAGGAAAUUAGAGUGUUUCAAGCAGGCAUACGCCUUGAAUACAUUAGCAUGGAAUAAUAAGAUAGGACCUCGGUUCUAUUUUGUUGGUUUCUAGAGCUGAGGUAAUGAUUAAUAGGGAUAGUUGGGGGCAUUCGUAUUUAACUGUCAGAGGUGAAAUUCUUGGAUUUGUUAAAGACGAACUACUGCGAAAGCAUUUGCCAAGGAUGUUUNCAUUGA